ACCAAUACCAUAUUUUUAAUUAUCUUCCAGGCCAAAAUUAUACAUCAGAAGCAAAGAUUAAACAUGCUUAUUCUAAGAGGAAAGAGAGUAGUUCUUAUUUUUGUAGAAGGAGAAAUGAAAGGCCAUUUAAUUUUGCCAACUGAUAUGGUUUGGGUCUGUGUUCCCACCCAAAUCUCACAUUGAAUUGUAAUCCCCAGUGUUGGAGGUGGGGCUUGGUGGGAGGUGACUGGCUUAUGGGGGUGGUUUCUAAUGGUUUAGUACCAUCCCUCUAGUGCUGUCUCAUGACAGAGUCCUCACCAGAUCUGGAUGUUGAAAAGUGUGAGGUACCUCCUCCCUCUGUCUCUUCCUCCUGCCCUGGCUAUGAAAGAUGUGCCUGCUUCCCCUUCACCUUCCACCAUCAUGGUCUGAGCCCAGGGAGCUACUUCUGGAGAUGCUGUGGUCUGGGGUGGAUCCUGCCUUCUCAGCCCCUGCCUGUUGAAGUCACUGAAGUCUCUGCUGCAUCUCCGGGCUUCUGCUGAGCAGGGCUGGAAGGUCUUGCUUGAGGAGCUGAAGCCCACCAGCAGGUGGCAGACAAAUCCAGAGGGUAUUCAUUGGAGGAUGAAGAUUUCCUGCCUCUGCUCAGGAUUCUCACGGUGUGGCUGCUGCAGGGAAGUCAGAUCACCUACGUGGAGGCCCAGGGGCCUGGCUCUGGAAACAGGAGGCAGAAGCUGCCAGUCUCUAGUCUUGGGCCUGGCAACUGGCAUAGCAUUACUUCCGCCCUAUUCCAUCGCUCAAGCAGUCACAGAACCCACCUGGCUUCAGCAGGAAGGGGCAAGGACCCCGCCUCCUAAUGGGAGCAGUGGUGAAGAAUUUACAGUCAUCUUUAAUCUGUCAUACCCGCUGAGAAGAAAUAGAUUUUCUGCCACCUGAAAAGUUGAAAGUCACAUGUGUUUUUCUCUUACAUCAUGGCUUUCCUGAGGUGAUGGCAGCAGCUCAGUCCAGCUGCCGUCUGAUUGGGCGAAGGGUCCUAGAAGAAGGAAAUACAGGAGGGGAGGAAUCUUGGCUAUUUCAAAAUGUCAUUCCUUGCAUUUAUGCAACCAAGGAAUCCACGAAGUCAAAUCAUACGUAACAAUUCAAAAGAUCUUCAGAAAGAUCUUUUUAAAAUUUUUUCUUUUUUAAAAAAUAUAUUUUUUCUUUUGAGACAAUCUCACGUUGUCGCCCCGCCUAGCUAGUUUUGCAUGUAGCUAUCAAUACUUACGUAUUCAUGUUUUUAAAAGUAAUAUCGUAUUGUAAACAGAAUUUGUAACCUGGUUUUUAUGCUUACCAUUUUAUCUUCAAAAGAUCUUGGCUCACUGCAAUUUCUGCCUCCUGGGUUCAAGCGAUUCUCUGUCUCAGCCUCCCAAGUAGCUGGGAUUACAUGUGUGCACCACCACACCUGGCUAAUUUUUUGUAUUAGUAGAGACCAGGUUUCACUAUGUUGGCCAGGCUGGUCUCAAAUUCUUGGCCUCAAAUGAUCCUCCUGUCUUGGCCUCCCACAGUGCUGGGAUUACAGGCAUGAGCCACUGCACCCAGCACAUAAAGAUCUUUUGAUUCUAACACAUUUUAAUGUUUUCUGUUUGUGUGUUUUUUUGAUAUUUUAUAACAUGAAUACAUGUCUUUUUUAUUUCAGGAAAAAAGAGAUUAUAAAACAAAAAGAAAAUACUGUUACAAUGAACUGAAUGUUUGUGUCCCUAUAAAAUGUUUAUGUUGAAGCUCUAAUCCCAAAGUGAUGGUAUUAGGAGGUAGGGACUUUGGGAAGUAAUUAGGUCAUGAUGGUGGAGCCCUCAUAAACAGGAUGAGUACUCUUAUAAAAGGGACCCCAGGCUGGGCAUGGUAGCUCAUCCCUGUAAUCCCAGCACUUGGGAGGCUGAUGUGGGCAGAUUGCUUGAGUCCAGGAGUUCGAGACUAGCCUGGGCAACAUGGCGAAACCUCAUCUCUACUAAAAAUACAAAAAUUAGCUGGGCAUGGGUGGUGCAUGCCUAUAGUCCCAGCUACUCUGGAGGCUGAGGUGGGAAGAUCACUUGAGCCCAGGAGGCAGAGGCAGCAGUGAGCUGUGAUGGCACCACUGUACUCCAGCCUGGGUGACAAAGUGAGAACCUGUCUCAAAAACAAAAAACAAAAAAGCCACCCCAGAGAGCUCCUGUGCUUUCUUUCCAAUAAGAAGUUGGCAGUCUGCAAGCCAUAGAGGGCCCACACCAGAACCAUGCUGGCACCCUGAUCUUGGACUUCCAGCUUCCAAAAUUGAGAAAUAGGCGGGGUGCAGUGGCUCACGCCUGUAAUCCCAACACUUUGGGAGGCUGAAGCAGGCAGAUCACUUGAGGUCAGGAGUUUGAGACCAGCCUGGCCAACAUGGCAAAACCCCGUCUCUACUAAAAAUACAAAAAUUAGCCAGGUGUGGUGUCAUAUGCCUGUAAUCCCAGCUACUCGGGAGGCUGAGGCAGGAGAAUCGCUUGAACCCCGGAGGUGGAGGUUGCAGCAAGCCAAGAUCACACCACUGCAAUCCAGCCUGGGCUACAAAGACAGAUUCCAUCUCUAAAUAAAUAAAUGCUGUUGUUUUUAACCCACCCAGUUUAUGAUAUUUUGCUAUAGCAGCCUCAACAGGCUAAGGCAACUGUCCUGUGGAUUAUUAACUAGUUGGCUCUUUAUACAAAUUCUAUUGAGCACCUAGCACGUACCAAUUACCAGUCUAUUCACUGCAAUAAGCAAGCCAGACAGGGUCCCUGUCCUCCUGGAGCUCAUGGUCUGGAGAAGCACCUGGACUGUUCUUUGGUAGUGGCAUCUGAAUCCAGAGCUUCCUGAGUUUUGCUCCUAGAGGACCUUGUGCAGAGCUGCCUGCUGAGGGGGAACAGCCCAAUGGCUUCCUAGCGCACUUGCCAAAUACCUGCCUCCAAGCCGUCUGCUUCUUCCAUCAGGUCCUUGCUUUUGGAUCCCAGAGACUUCAUUUCCUGCCCUACUUUUCCUUCCAAGAGCUCAGUGGAGAGUUCUCUUCCUAAAAAAAGAGAAGCUUACUUCCUCAGCAGUGUUAUCUCUGGGUCUCAACCAUAAGGCUGGAAUUUUCCCACUCAGCCAUGGAGUAGUGUUGCCCUUUCCAUCUUCCUGAAGCCAGAGCAUGCAACAUGUGGUAGAAGCCAUUAGUAAGAGAUGGGUAGCAGUCAAGGGCAUGGCCCCAAGUCUGGACUCGUGGCUACUGGGGAGAAAGGGAAAUUGAUGAAGCUCCUAUAGUGUGACUGCUAUUGUGUGCUACAUUCACAGAAUCCCCAACUGCCCUAUGAUGCAGACCAGGCUCUCCAAGGCUGGGUCCUGAGAAAUGGUACUUUCUUCAGAUGUUAAUAGAUUCUGUGUGCAAUUUUGGGAAAUUCUAUAGUUCUUUGUUCAGUGCUUUUAAUAGGCUAAUGUGCAUGGUGAAACUCAAAGGGGGAGGUUAUGACAGGCAGUCUCCCCCAAAUUUAUUUCACCCAAAUGCCCCAUACUAGAUUGAAUAGUGUCCCCCCAAAAUUCAAGUCCACCCAGAACCUCGGAAUGUGGCCUUAUUUGGAGAUAGUCUUUGCAGGCAUAAUUAAUCAAGGUGAUGCCACGCUGGAGUAGAGGGAGCCCUAACCCAAUGACGGAUGUCCUUAGAAGACGAGAAAACAGAGACACAUGGCGAAGAAGGCCAUGUGAUGAGAGGGUCAGAGACUGGAGAGAUUCAUCCACAAACCAAGGAACGUCAAGGGGUGCCGGAAACCCCCGAAGCUAAGAAGAAGCAAAAAAGGAGCUUUCCCCUCAGGGUUCAGAGGGAGCAUGGCCUGGCUGACACCUCGAUUUUGGACAUCUAGCUCCAGAACUGUGAGAAAAUAAAUUUCUG
rnacentral:lncRNA from 1 species